AGAUGCGAUCAUACCAGCACUAACGUAACGGAUCCCAUCAGAACUCCGAAGCUAAGUGCUUGGGCGAGAGAAGUACUAGGAUGGGUGACCCCCUGGGAAGUCCUCAUGUUGCAUCCC
rnacentral:rRNA from 1 species